UAUUAGGUUGGUGCAAAAGUAAUUGCGGGUUUUGCCAUUGAAAGUAGUGGCAAAAACCACAAUUAGUUUUGCAUCAACCUA
ensembl:miRNA